rnacentral:rRNA from 1 species
AGAGUUUGAUCCUGGCUCGGAACGAACGCUGGCGGCAUGGAUUAGGCAUGCAAGUCGAACGGUGAACCAAAGCUUGCUUUGGGGAUCAGUGGCGAAAGGGUGAGUAACGCGUGAGUAAUCUACCCCCAAGUUCGGAAUAACUCCGCGAAAGCGGGGCUAAUACCGGAUGUGUCCAUCAGAUCGCAUGGUCGAAUGGAUAAAGAUUCAUCGCUUGGGGAUGAGCUCGCGUCCCAUUAGCUUGUUGGAGGGGUAACGGCCCACCAAGGCGACGAUGGGUAGCUGGUCUGAGAGGAUGACCAGCCACACUGGGACUGAGACACUGCCCAGACUCCUACGGGAGGCUGCAGUCGAGAAUCUUCCGCAAUGCGCGAAAGCGUGACGGAGCGAUGCCGCGUGCCGGAUGAAGGCCUUCGGGUCGUAAACGGCUGUCACCGGGGAAGAAGAACUGACGGUACCCGGAGAGGAAGCCACGGCUAACUACGUGCCAGCAGCCGCGGUAAUACGUAGGUGGCGAGCGUUGUUCGGAUUUAUUGGGCGUAAAGGGUCCGCAGGGGGUCGGCUAAGUCUGAUGUGAAAUCUCACGGCUCAACCGUGAAACUGCAUUGGAAACUAGUUGACUAGAGUAUCGGAGAGGAAAGUGGAAUUCCAGGUGUAGCGGUGGAAUCGUAGAUAUCUGGAAGAACACCAAUAGCGAAGGCAGCUUUCUGGACGAUUACUGACCCUCAGGGACGAAAGCGUGGGUAGCGAACAGGAUUAGAUACCCUGGUAGUCCACGCCGUAAACGUUGUGUACUUGAUGUGGGAGGAUUUAGUCCCUUCCGUGUCGGAGCUAACGCGUUAAGUACACCGCCUGGGGACUACGGCCGCAAGGCUAAAACUCAAAGGAAUUGACGGGGGCCCGCACAAGCGGUGGAGCAUGUGGCUUAAUUCGAGGCAACGCGAAGAACCUUACCUGGGCUUGACAUUGAGUGACCGCCGUGGAAACACGGCUUUCCUUCGGGACACGAAAACAGGUGCUGCAUGGCUGUCGUCAGCUCGUGCCGUGAGGUGUUCGGUUAAGUCCGGCAACGAGCGCAACCCGUGUCGUUAGUUACCAUCAGGUAAUGCUGGGGACUCUAACGAGACUGCCCGUGUUAAGCGGGAGGAAGGCGCGGAUGACGUCAAGUCCGUAUGGCCUUUAUGUCCAGGGCUGCACACGUGCUACAAUGACUGGUACAAUGGGACGCAAUGCCGCGAGGUGGAGCAAAUCCUUAAAACCAGCCUAAGUUCGGAUUGCAGUCUGCAACUCGACUGCAUGAAGUCGGAAUCGCUAGUAAAGGCGUAUCAGCCACGACGCCUUGAAUACGUUCCCGGGCCUUGUACACACCGCCCGUCACAUCAUGGAAGCUGAUUGCACCCGAAGUCGUUGACCCAACCCUUCCGUUCAACCGGUUGGGAGGGAGACGCCUAAGGAGUGAUCAGUAACUGGGAUGAAGUCGUAACAAGGU